AUUGAACGCUGGCGGCAGGCUUAACACAUGCAAGUCGAACGAGUGGCGGACGGGUGAGUAAUGUUUGGGAAUCUAGCUUAUGGAGGGGGAUAACUACGGGAAACUGUAGCUAAUACCGCGUACCAUAGGCUGAGCCCAAGCGGGAUUAGGUAGUUGGGGAGGUAAAGGCUCACCAAGCCGACGAUCUCUAGCUGAUCUGAGAGGGUGACCGGCCACACUGUGACUGAGAAACGGCCCAGACUCCUACGGGAGGCAGCAGUGGGGAAUAUUGCGCAAUGGGGGAAACCUGACGCAGCCAUGCCGCGUGAAUGAUGAAGGUCUUCGGGUUGUAAAGUUCUUUCGGUAGCGAGGCGUUAACUACAGAGAAAGCAACGGCUAACUCCGUGCCAGCAGCCGCGGUAAUUC
rnacentral:rRNA from 1 species